AUGCGAUGAGUCGAUUUGCAGUUUAUUGCAUUUUGAAGCACGGGAGGUCAUAACGCAGGAGCGGACCUUGGUAAGUUGUGUGAACCUACUUACCACAUGAAGAUGCCCCUAAAACCCUAGUCUUUGGACUAAGGUUUUUU
rnacentral:sRNA from 1 species